UGGGGAAUAUUGGACAAUGGGCGCAAGCCUGAUCCAGCCAUGCCGCGUGUGUGAAGAAGGCCUUUUGGUUGUAAAGCACUUUAAGCGAGGAGGAGGCUACUUGGAGUAAUACUCUAGGAUAGUGGACGUUACUCGCAGAAUAAGCACCGGCUAACUCUGUGCCAGCAGCCGCGGUAAUACAGAGGGUGCGAGCGUUAAUCGGAUUUACUGGGCGUAAAGCGCGCGCAGGCGGUUGCUCAAGCGGAACCUCUAAUCUCGGGGCUUAACCUCGAGCCGGGUUCCGAACUGGACGACUCGAGUGCGGUAGAGGCAGAUGGAAUUCCCGGUGUAGCGGUGGAAUGCGCAGAUAUCGGGAAGAACACCAACGGCGAAGGCAGUCUGCUGGGCCGUCACUGACGCUGAGGCGCGAAAGCUGGGGGAGCGAACAGG
rnacentral:rRNA from 1 species